rnacentral:rRNA from 1 species
GUUUGAUCCUCUGAAACCCUAGAGAGGGCUUCUCCUUCGGGAGCAGAGUGACAGGUGGUGCAUGGUUGUCGUCAGCUCGUGUCGUGAGAUGUUGGGUUAAGUCCCGCAACGAGCGCAACCCUUGAUCUUAGUUGCCAUCAUUAAGUUGGGCACUCUAAGGUGACUGCCGGUGACAAACCGGAGGAAGGUGGGGAUGACGUCAAAUCAUCAUGCCCCUUAUGACCUGGGCUACACACGUGCUACAAUGGACGGUACAAAGAGCUGCAAGACCGCGAGGUGGAGCUAAUCUCAUAAAACCGUUCUCAGUUCGGAUUGUAGGCUGCAACUCGCCUACAUGAAGCUGGAAUCGCUAGUAAUCGCGGAUCAGCAUGCCGCGGUGAAUACGUUCCCGGGCCUUGUACACACCGA